GAAAGAAAGACAGAGCUGACCAGGUCUCAAAGGAGACAAAGUUAUAACAAUGCUUCAGUACUUGGAUGGAGCUGUGAUCUCAGCAUGAUAGAUGGCUCAGUGGGUGGAAUGCCAGGCCUGGAAGCAGGAAGACUCGCCUUCAUGAGUUCAAAUCUGGCCUCAUACACUUGUGCGUCCCAGUGUAACCCUGAGGACCCUCGUACGUGGGUUAGCGUUCCCACGCCCAUUUCUUUUUGAGUUUGAUACCACUGAUAUAGAUGAUAAGCCUCCAAAGGAGAUUGCAAGGAUUGGUCAGGUGAGGAAACUGAGGCACAGAAGAGUUAAGUCACCUGCCAGGGUCAUCAAGCUGGUUGUAUUUGAACUCAGGUCUCCCUUACUCCAAGGGCAGCUCUUCAUUGACUCUGCCAUGUGGCCUCCACCUGAGCAUCAGAGAGGUGACCUGAUGUGUUCAAACUCACGGGAUUGAUAAGUAUGAUAAGUAGUCACACCAGGUUAGAAACAUGUCCCCUUGUCUCCAAAUCCAGUGGCAUUUUCAUUGUGCGCCACAGCCUUUUAAUGGGUAUUGGAUAGCUAUUGGACAUUAGUGGAGACAUAUCUAGUAUCUUCAGCUAAAUCCCCGUUCCUUUCCUGGAAAUGAUGGAAAAGGAGCGUUCCUGUUUAUCCCUCUGAUUUCAAUGCUUUGCCCAGCUCCAAUGUACACUUUGAUAUUACUGAUAAUAUUCCGGAAGGCGUGUGAUUGGUGGCACCAGGCAUCUUCGAGCUGUUGGAAAGACCCAGGGCAGCAGCAAAGCAUGAUAGGCUCUGGCUCUUCCUAAUAAUCCCUGCUGAACCCCAGUCUGAAUGCAGGCAGGAGAGCUGUGCAUGCCGGUUCGGUGAGCAGGGCCCUGGGGGAGGUCCGUCUCAUGGUUCUGUAUCCUACAGAUAUCUAGGCAGGGAAGGGAGAUUUGAGCCAGCCCAGAGGAGGCAGGCGCUGGGAGGGGGACCCAGUCUUGAAAGUUCACACACAACCAUUUCCUCCAGUUGCCAGAGAGUUCCUGAAUGAAGUCUCACAGGAAGCAGGAGGAAUUUGUGCGAGAACAAUAGAACAACACUAGGAAGAAGAAAUCUGAAGAGAGGACAGCGAGAGAGAGGCCUAAAUAAAGCUCUUCUUUACAGAGUAGCAGAUCACAAGUUACUCUGAGGGUCCUACAGGGCCACGAAGACCACCUGGUUAUUAUUAGUGCUAUUUUUAAUGAAGGUUUUAUUAAUUCCUUUUGUUUUCAUAUCAUAGUCAUUUCCAGAUUUUACCCUUUCCCUAAACCCAGUGACUCUUGCCUUGUAGCACAGAAAAAGAGAUAAGCGAAACUAUCUGUUGCUGAUACCAUAUCUGAUUAUGUAUGCAACAUUCUGCACCCACAGAUUCCCACCUCUCUAAUGAAAGAAAGAGGACCCAUUUUCUCAUCUCUUCUCUGGGGCCAAGAUUGGCUAUUAUGAUUAUGUAGUGUUUAACUUAAUUUUAGAGUUUACAUUCUUGUAGCAAUUGAAUACAUGGCUUCCAGCUUCUGCAGACUUCACUCUGCAUCAGUUCAUAUAAGUCUACACAUGUUUCUCUGAAUUCUCAUAUUCAUUCUUUUU